GAUGAACGUUGGCGACGUGCCUAACACAUGCAAGUCGAGCGGUGAAAAGCGGACUUAAUCUUCGGAAAGAGGAAACUUGGAACAGCGGCGGACGGGUGAGUAAUACAUGAGCAACCUGCCUUGGACAGAGGGAUAGCCGUGGGAAACCGCGAUUAAUACCUCAUAAGACCCCACUAUCGCAUGAUAGAGAGGUCAAAGAUUUAUCGGUCCAAGAUGGACUCAUGACCCAUUAGCUAGUUGGUGAGAUAACAGCCCACCAAGGCGACGAUGGGUAGCCGGCUUGAGAGAGUGACCGGCCACAUUGGAACUGAGACACGGUCCAGACUCCUACGGGAGGCAGCAGUGGGGAAUAUUGCACAAUGGAGGAAACUCUGAUGCAGCGACGUCGCGUGAGCGAAGAAGGUUUUCGAAUCGUAAAGCUCUGUCCUAUGGGAAGAAGAAAGACGGUACCAUAGAAGAAAGCCCCGGCUAACUACGUGCCAGCAGCCGCGGUAAUACGUAGGGGGCGAACGUUAUCCGGAAUGAUUGGGCGUAAAGGGUACGUAGGCGGACCUGUAAGUCAGGUGUGAAAGGCAUGGGCUCAACCCAUGUAAGCACUUGAAACUGCGGGUCUUGAGGGAAGGAGAGGUAAGUGGAAUUCCUAGUGUAGCGGUGAAAUGCGUAGAUAUUAGGAGGAAUACCGGUGGCGAAGGCGACUUACUGGACUUUUACUGACGCUGAGGUACGAAAGCGUGGGGAGCAAACAGG
rnacentral:rRNA from 1 species